rnacentral:lncRNA from 1 species
GGUGGUGGGAUGGUCAAAAUCAUGAUCCUUCUCAAAUUCCAAUUUGAAAUAUUCUUUCAACAGAUGUGUCCUAUAGUGUUUGCUACAGACUGAGUUCUAUAGCCCCAAAAUCAUAUAUUGAAGCCUUAACACCCCGUACCUGAAAAUGUGACCAUUUGGAGAUAAGACCUUUAUAGAAAUAGUUACAUUACAAUGGGAUUAUUAAGGUGGGCCCUAAUCUAAUAUGACUAGUGUUCUUACAAGAAUAGAAAAUGAGAAUAUAGACAACAUAAAGAGGCACCAUGUGAAAACACUGAAAGAAAACAGCUAUUUACAGGUCAAGGAGACAGGCCUCAGAAGAAGCAAUCCUUCGGACAGCUUGAUUUUGGACUUCCAGCCUCUGCUGCCUGGCAGUUUGGCUAUAUUUGUGCAAAGAAAAGUACUAUUCGCUGAUUCAGCGUUGAGUCUUUCAGGAUGCAGAGGCUGUCGGAGAAUCACAGUAACUCGCCAUACAUUUGGAUGCCUCUGACACCGGGUAGACCAUAUGAUAACCUAGUGCUCAGGAAGUAUUCAGGUUUCUUCCUAAAUAAUUAUACUCUUGAAAACUUUAAAAUUAUGUCCCGUGAACAGAAUAGGUAGCUUCAUUUGGGGUCACUGUGUAUCAGUAACUAAAUGUCUUUUUAAUCUUUG